rnacentral:rRNA from 1 species
GCCUUAGUGGCGCACGGGUGCGUAACGCGUGGGAAUCUGCCCUUGGGUUCGGAAUAACAGUGGGAAACUACUGCUAAUACCGGAUGAUGUCUUCGGACCAAAGAUUUAUCGCCCAGGGAUGAGCCCGCGUAGGAUUAGGUAGUUGGUGGGGUAAAGGCCUACCAAGCCGACGAUCCUUAGCUGGUCUGAGAGGAUGAUCAGCCACACUGGGACUGAGACACGGCCCAGACUCCUACGGGAGGCAGCAGUGGGGAAUAUUGGACAAUGGGGGAAACCCUGAUCCAGCAAUGCCGCGUGAGUGAUGAAGGCCUUAGGGUUGUAAAGCUCUUUUACCCGGGAUGAUAAUGACAGUACCGGGAGAAUAAGCUCCGGCUAACUCCGUGCCAGCAGCCGCGGUAAUACGGAGGGAGCUAGCGUUGUUCGGAAUUACUGGGCGUAAAGCGCACGUAGGCGGCUACUCAAGUCAGAGGUGAAAGCCCGGGGCUCAACCCCGGAACUGCCUUUGAAACUAGGUAGCUAGAAUCCUGGAGAGGCGAGUGGAAUUCCGAGUGUAGAGGUGA